UUUGUCUACAUCUGAGUAUGCCGGUAACAGUGUUCUCUGUCUCUCUCAUGGGUAAGUGGAAAGUCUUGUUGAAACACCAGCGGUCACCAGGUGUCCAUCCUGUGAAGAGAUUGUCUUCACAGAAACCAGCAGAAGAGUGGGCGAGGCUACAUGGAUGAUUUGUUUCUUGUGCACCAUCAUGGGGUGUGUCGCAGGCUGCUGUUUAAUCCCUUUCUUCAUGAGCCGUCUGAAGGACGUCCACCACAAGUGUCCCCAGUGCCAGGCAAAUAUACACAUCCACCAGCCAUUUUGACCUGGAGGUUACUACAUUAACAGCACUGGUGUGAUUUGUACAGUAUGAUCCACUGCGUCUGUGCUUGAGUGACCACUUCCUGUGGACUUUGAGCUGUCUGGGACUCGGCCUCUGCUGUUUGACUCCACAAGUGAUCGAAGCAAUGUGCCUGGAGUCAACUACAUUGCUGGUACAAACUGUAAAAAGGCUCAGA